GUGAUUAGAUCGAGCGUGUCUUCAUUGACCGCUCACCCUUCUCACCAUCCACAUACACCUGUGCACUGUUUAGCCUGAGCCGGUUUUCCGGUCCAGGUUAUCAUUUCAUACAAACUCUAGUCUUAUGAAUGUAAACGUUUUAAUAACUAUAAUA
rnacentral:misc_RNA from 1 species